UAUUCUGAACCUUGUCUGAAACACUGGAAAUGGUACAAAGAUAAUUGCUAUAACCAAACUCUCUCGUGUGUAUCUUGGUUUGACUGUGAUAAUCUUUGUAUCUCCAUGAAUUCCACAUUUUUAAAAUCAGGAAAUGAUAUGAUAAUGAACUUCAUGAAAAAGUUUUUAUCAGCUGAUACCUGGGUUGGCAUUUCUUAUCAAGAAAACAGUAAAGAGUGGAAGUGGGGAAAUGGUUCUUCUUAUCCUUUUAGAGCAUCACCAAAGUCAGAACAGAAUUUCCGGAACUCAUGUUUAUAUAUAAAUUCAAAUAUGACGGGUUUCUCUCAUUGUAAUGAAACCUUGCCUUGUUUGUGUGAGAAGGCUCUCAGUGCUGAGAAUUAAGAAUAAUGUGAGAAUCUAUUUCCUAAAUGUCCCAGAAGCAUCACAAUUCUAGGCCAUUACCUUGACCUAUUUAUGUUUCUUGUUCUUGUGAUUUCUCAUUUUGUGUUGUAUCACCAUAUAUAAUUUUAUAAAUAUUCUGUCUAUGUGUUAGUGAUUGAAGGAGACUUUUAAAAGAACUUUAGCUAUUAUAUUCUGCUAUUUUUAAAUGCCCAGGAACCAAUAAGAGAAUUCUUUUAUACAUAAUGAUUAAUGGGAUAAUUUUGUUUGGAUAGGGAUUUAAAUGAAUGGGUUAAUGAAAACAUUAUAAUCAAUGAUUUUUUUUCUUUGCAUUUUUCUUUCUUUUGGGGGGAAGGUAGAUUUACCUUUGUGUCUUUGAUCUUUUGUUUUUCAGCACAGGUAGAAUAAAAUAUUAAUGAUAAAAUUAUAUUUCACAGAAUCACAAACCUCAUGAUUGUAAAUAUAGUCCAGAAAAAAAAUUGAUUGAUAAUCUCCUCUAAUAAGAGGCUAAUCUUUCUCAACUUAGAUUACUUCCAGGAGCCAUUACAUCAUAAGAAAGCCUUUUCAUAGAAUCAUAGAUUCUCCAAAUCAGAAAUAUAGCAUUUAUCAACCUAUUCUUUCAGGUGACCCCUUGCAUGUAUGGGGCUGGGGAGGACUGCUCUAAGUUCAAGAUACUCUUUUGGUCUGUAUCCACUGAAAACAAAAACAAAGCAAGAACAUAAUACUUGGGAGUCUAUACUGAUAUAUUUACUUUAGCCAAAAGAUUUAGUCAAAUCUUUUUUUUUUUUUUUUUCUGAUACAAUUGGGGUUAAGUGAUUUGCCCAGGGUCAUACAGCUAGGAAGUGUUAAGUGUUUGAGACCACAUUUGAACUCAGGUCCUUCAGACUUCAAAACUGGUGCUCUAUCCUCUGAGCCACCUGGCUGCCCCAAUUUAGCCAAAUCUUUAACCAAAAUAGAAUUAGCCAAAGCAUAAAAUUGUUUCUAGAUAAAGUUACUCAAUGAAAUAGAGUAAGACCGAAAGUAGCCGUAAAACAUUUCUUUCUCAAAUGUGCUUCUC